UUACGGCCAUAUUACGUUGAAGCAUUGGUUUUCGUACGAUCACCAAAGUAAAGCAACGUCGAGUCAGGUCAGGACCUAGAUGGGUGAUCGCUUGGGAAUACCAGGGGCUGUAA